UUUAAUAGGAAUUUACGGGCUUUAAACCCCGGUUUGGGCGGUUCCAAAAACUAGGAAUUUAAAAGCCCCCAGGCUUUAACCCUGGGAACCUCCAUUCCAAAAAUUUCAGACCUAGAGUUUGGUCGAGGGUGGUCUAAAUUUCCUCCGGAAGCGGUGAAAUUGCGUAGUAUUGGGAGGGAAUACCGAUGGCGGAAGGCAGCCACCUGGACCCAAUACUGUCGCUGAGGUGCGAAAGCUUUGGGAGCAAACAGGGUUUAGAUACCCUGGUAGUCCACGCCGUAAACGAUGAAAUCUAGCCGUCGGGACCCAUGAGGUCUUGGUGGCGCAGCUAUCGCGUUAAGUUGUUCGGCAUGGGGAGUACGGCCGCAAGGUUAAAACUCAAAUGAAUUGACGGGGGGCCCGCACAAGCGGUGGAGCAUGUUGUUUAAUUCGAUGCAACGUGAAGAACCUUAGCAUCACCUUGACAUCCUGCGAAUUUUCUAGAGAUAGAUUAGUGCCUUCGGGAACGCAGUGACAGAUGCUGCAUGGCUGUCGUCAGCUCGUGUCCUGAGAUGUUCGGGUUAAGUCCCGUAACGUGCGCAACCCUUGUCCUUAUUUGGCAGCACAUAAUGGUGGGAACUCUAAGGAGACUGACGGUGACAAACCGUAGGAAGGUGGGGACGACGUCAAGUCAUCAUGGCCCUUACUGGGUGGGCUACAAACGUGCUUCAAUGGUCGGCACAAAGGGCUGCGAACCAGCAAUGGUAAGCGAAUCCCAAAAAACCGAUCGUAGUCCGGAUUGGGGUCUGCAACUCGACCCCAUGAAGUUGGAAUCGCUUGUAAUCGCGAAUCAGAAUGUCGCGGUGAAUACGUUCCCGGGCCUUGUACACACCGCCCGUCACACCAUGGAAGUUGGUUGCACCAGAAGUAGGUAGUCUAACCUCGUAAGAGGAGGGCGCUUACCACGGUGUGGUCAAUGACUGGGGUGAA
rnacentral:rRNA from 1 species